rnacentral:snoRNA from 1 species
UUAUGAUGAUACACCAGCUGGCACCAGUCCUAGAAAGACUUGUACUCUUUUUGCUGCGGAUUAGCUUUGCGGAGCAAGUCUCCUUUAUCUGAA